GGGGCUGACUGGCUUUGACAGCGGGAUGGGCCUUUGUGUAAGCAUGCAGUGAGACGUCACCUAUCACUAUAAUCCACGAUGGCGAAAUAUAAUUGGCGAGACUAACUACGCUCUUGCUGCCUGAUCGAAGUACAGUAGAUCACUGGCUUAAUCGGACGCCAAGGUGCGUCUGACAAGACAUCACCCCAAGGUCGUUGUUCCGAGACUGAGGAACCGGUGGUGCAGGUAAAUCGGAAAUAGUCUGGUGUAUGCCUCGAUGCCCAGAUGAACUCUUAGAGGAUAAGGCGUUGCUUGGUGGUUCAGGUCUUGGUAGCGCCCGACAAUCAAGGCUGAAAUAAGCAUGUAGAAAGCUCAGAUGUCCCCUGUUUGGACGAGGGUUCGAACCCCUCCAGCUCCACA
rnacentral:tmRNA from 1 species